CCUACGGGAGACAGCAGUAGGGAAUUUUGCGCAAUGGGCGAAAGCCUGACGCAGCAACGCCGCGUGAUCGAGACGCCCUUCGGGGUGUAAAGAUCUGUCAGUGGGGGCGAAACUUGACGGUACCCACAGAGGAAGCACCGGCUAACUCCGUGCCAGCAGCCGCGGUAAUACGGGGGGUGCAAGCGUUGUCCGGAAUCAUUGGGCGUAAAGAGUUCGUAGGCGGCACGUAAAGUCUGGUGUUAAAGGCAGAGGCUCAACUUCUGUACGGCACUGGAUACUUGCGAGCUAGAGUGCGGUAGAGGUAAAGGGAAUUCCUGGUGUAGCGGUGAAAUGCUUAGAUAUCAGGAGGAACAUCGGUGGCGUAAGCGCUUUACUGGGCCGUAAUUGACGCUGAGGAACGAAAGCCAGGGUAGCAAAUGGGAUUAGAUACCCUAGUAGUC
rnacentral:rRNA from 1 species